CGCCUGUCCCCACCUCUCAGUGUUGACACUGCCUGUCCUGGUGGAGGUACUGAACAGCUGCCUAUUUUUGCCUAUCACUUGCAGUAAUGGGAAGACAGCCUGGAUUCUGAAAAGCCCAGAUUCUGCAAUUGAAGAGAAUCAUACAUACCUGACUGGCAUGGGGCUAGAGAUUUUUCCACCAAAACCCACUGUGAUCAUGUUUAUUUCAUUUCAUCCAGUAGACUGGACUCUCUUCAUAUGCACUUUUUUCAUCUCCAGCUUCAGGCAGAUUAACUCAGCAAACUUGGAAGCCAGAUGAUGAAAACUGAAAAACUGUAAGAUGGAAGGGAUAUGGAACUCCAGUUCACUGCUUGAAGAAGGGCAGUCAGAGUUAACAGUUUUAGACUUUAUAAGGAGAAAUAAAUUUAUGUCAUGUGAACAAUUAUAUAUUUUAGAGUUUGUUUUUCAAAACAGCUUUACUAUAACUGCUAAAUGGAAAAAUGCAUGCAUUUCUCAAUUACCAGAUUACAACUCAAACUGUAUUUUGUUUCCAGUACUAGAGACACAAGACAUGAGUUAAUCAAAUUUUUUUGUGUGUAGCAGCCUGGGUAAUUCAUGUUUUUAAGUCCCUUUAAUAUCUUAUUGGUUGUGCAUUCUAGGUUUUAAACAACUUGUUUAGAAUGAACUUUUAGAACCACACCCAUUUCUAAGUUGGGAACUGCUUACAUAGCAAAGGAUUUAUUGCUGAAUGAUCAAUUUGAUAUGCUUGUCAUAACUGCUAAACUAUACAGACAUGGGCCAUUUAUUCCAGACAACAUAAUGUCUGAAUUGGAUUGAAGAAACUGGAUCAAUAGACCUUAACCAUCGACCUGAAAAUGGUCACUCCAUACAAUCGUGGAAAAUCAAGUAGUCCAGUUGUCUGAAAAAAUAACAAUUGGCAGACAAAUUACUUUAUCAGUCAUCUUUGGUUUUAGUGGGAAAUUGUAUGGUUUUAAUUUCAAAAAGGAUAUGGUUCACUAACCUUAUAGUGACUGAUAUUAAAAAAUUGAAAUGUAUGUUAUAUCACAAAGCUGAUGGAAUGGAGUUCAACUAGAUGCGUUUUUUUUUACCAAAAAAAAUAAUAAAUUUGUUUUAAGAAGU
rnacentral:lncRNA from 1 species